rnacentral:lncRNA from 1 species
CAAACCAUAAUGCCAUUACGUUUCUCACCGUGGGUCCUGAUCCAAUGACAGUGAGAGAAUAUACGGUAAAAGCGGAGCUAGCACCAAUCCUUAAAGCGGUUCUGUUGAAACACGGGGACAUUGUUACCGACUGCUCAUUGAACUCAACGCAGUGCCGUUCGUCUCUCCUGGAGAUCGCCUGUGGGAUCAUCCAGAAACUACAAGCAGCGAAAUUGGAAGAUUUAACAGAACCUGAGCUCCGCUCCAUGCUUGCAAGUGUUUCAGAUUUGGAAUCGUUGAAGUUGCGAGUUAGUUGGCUCCGUAAGAGACUGGAUCAAAUUAUUGAGGCACUGC